rnacentral:lncRNA from 1 species
UCCUGAUGAAGUUGAGCUGAUCAUCUCUCAACCUAAAGACAUAUAUGAAGAAGGAUUAAAUGAAGAGAAGAGUAUAUCAAGGGGAAACAGCACUAGUGGUUCUGAGAUCUCUUGUGUAGACAGUGGAAGAAAAAAGAUUCAAGACUGUCAUGCAGCUCUCCCCAAAGAACAGGCUGUAAAUAUAGAUGAACUUGAGAAGGCUCUUUCUUGGAGUUUAGCACCAAAAUUGGGCCCCAAGAUUCCAGUCCUUUCAGCAGAUAGCCUGGAUGUGGAGGAGGCUGAUUCUUCACACUUACAAUCUCCAGCUGAAACCAACUCAAAUGAAACCUACACUGUGGAGCUUGUUAAAGAAGAUGGGACUUUUGGAAUCAGUGUGACUGCAAGUGUUACUAUUAAUCUUUCAAACUAUAUCAUGAACAAGAAACAUGUAGAGAAGUGUAUUUACGUGGAAGAAAGAUAGAAUAUAGGCCAGUAACAAGAACUGCUAGCACAGCACAUUUCAAACCUAAGAACCUGACUG